rnacentral:rRNA from 1 species
GAUCAUGGCUCAGAUUGAACGCUGGCGGCAGGCCUAACACAUGCAAGUCGAACGGUAGCACAGAGGAGCUUGCUCCUUGGGUGACGAGUGGCGGACGGGUGAGUAAUGUCUGGGAAACUGCCCGAUGGAGGGGGAUAACUACUGGAAACGGUAGCUAAUACCGCAUAACGUCGCAAGACCAAAGAGGGGGGACCUUCGGGCCUCUUGCCAUCGGAUGUGCCCAGAUGGGAUUAGCUAGUAGGG